UUAUUUGACGUUUUCAAUUUUCUAUGUAAAAUUUAUUACUAAUUAAUAUUAGAUGACCAAUGAUAUUAUAGUUUAUAUUUUAUUAUUAGUUAAAUUGUGGUUAGGUAAACAAUUAAUGAUGUUUUUGUUUAGAAAUUAAAUGUUUUUUAAUUUAUGUGUAUAAUCAUAAAGCGUCGUAUAUAAAAAAACUGGAGGAGUAUUAUUUUGUCAAUAGGUUCAGUUAAAGGAUCCAGAUUCCAGCCAUAUACAUAAACGGCCAUGUGUGCAGGCAAACACAUCUUCAGCAAACAAACGAAAACUUAAAAGAUGAAGCAAUCCAGAUCAACAUAAAGCCCGAUUUAAAAAAAAAUGAUUAGUUUUGGAGGCCUAGGCCCAUUUAUCUGAGUCCAUAAACCUAGGAACACAACGUCAUGCAUGGGUUUUAUUCGGCUUUUAGAGGCAAGACUUAAGAGUGUUCAAUCACACGUAGCAGUAAAGUUAACUUAGAACAUGAUUAUCUUCGCAUUUAUCUACCUACAAAUUUGUUGGUUAAAUUCGAUCAAGGCAAUUUUGCCAUUCAUGACUUGCUUGAUAGCAAGAUUUUUUUUUUUAAGCUGAAUAUAUUAUGCUAUAUAUCCACGUAUGAUUUUUGUUAUUUUUUAAGCGACAAUUUUUUUUUCUUUGUUCUUUUUAACUAAUAUAUUGUAAGCAUUUUCUCUUGUAGAUGUUAAUAUCUUCGAUUUGUUAUGAAGAUGUCCUUGAAUUUAUUUACCUAACAAAUCUUAAGGAGACUUCAGCUACUUUUAGAAGGAAUACUUGAAUAUGCUUUCGUGUUCAAUUCAAAUUAGAGCCAGUGAUACUUACAAAACUGGACUUCUGAGAAGUCACUAGUGGCGACAGGUUGCUACUUUGAUGGCCCCCAUUGUCCCCUUGCUGGAAAAUACAUGAAGGUCUUUUUGUUCUUUUUAUCACCAGCUAGUUUUACUGGUUAAUCAGGACUUUUUAUUUAAAAAAAUAUAAGUAGUUGCGUUUUAACUUAAGAAUAAUAUUAAGAAAGUUUGUUAACUUUAAAAAAAAAUCAUUAAAUAUAUAUGUUUAACUAAUUAUAAAAGAUUACAUAAUUUAAUUGGUCACACAAUAUUUAACAAGCAAAAAAGUUAAAUCAAAAUGUAAAAGUAUAAUAUUUUGGAACAGAAAUAGCAAUUACAAGUUUCCACUGCUUGUGUUUUCCUGUUUUGGCUCUUUAUUUUUCACUAGGUCUUCUAUCCGCGCUACGCGCGGAUUGUGUAUUAUUAAAUUCAAGUUUUUGAUACUUUUUAGAUUUUGUUAAAAUUAUAAAUAUUUAUAUAUAUUAUUCGACCAAAACUACAGAAUGUGUGACAAAAAAAUACAUGGCAAGAGUUUGAUGUGUGUGUUUUCUAAAUUCUUGAUUCAUUGAACUUCUCUUCAAGUUAGCGUAUGUGUUUAAAUUGCAUUUCGAAAGGUUGACUAUACCCAAUGUUUUUCCUUCUAGGUAUUCUAAUAAUAACUUUCAUGCAUUUUUAGAAGAAAAUGACAAAGUAUCAUUACUUCGUAGUCCAUCUGUGUUGUUAACUUUUAUAUGUUCUUUGUCAAUGUUAGUUACCGAAUAAUAUAAUUUUUUUUUCAAAUAUUUAUUUUUAUAAGUGUGUAAAACUAACAUGCAUUUCCUAAUUACGAUAAAAUGUGAGACUUCAUCAAUUUUUCCUACAUCAAAAUUUUCCUAUGUUGGCCUUUAAAGAUUAAAUAAGGUAUCAGUUAUUACUCGAACCGAAUCUGCCGAAGCGAAUUGAAAAUUUUGAUUUUAGGUUAGUUCGGUUAGAAAGUUCGGUUUAGUUCAGAAACUUAAAAAAAUUGGUUUCGGUUCGAUAAUCGGUUCAUUUGUUUUUUAAAUUAAAAAUACCAAACAAUACCAAACUUUAAUCAAAAUUCCGAACCGAACUAACCAAAAUCCAAACUGAAAUAACCAAACUAAUCCCAAAAUCAAAAAAAAAAUUGAUAUUUUUUCGUAACCGAACUAACCACAAACCAAACCGAUUUUUUGGUGAUUCACUUCGGUAAGAUUUCGAUCGACCGAAAUAACGAUCUAACCGACCCGACCAAACCCACAUGCCUCGAUAAAAUGGUAGUAACAAUUAGUUUCAAGAUUAUUAACUAAUAUUUAAAAAAAUUGUGAAAUCAUGUGUUCUUAGAGUAUCAUUUUCAAUAACUUAUGACUCGUUAAUUUAUUCAAAUUUAAAUUCAUUGGAUAUUUAUCAAGGAAAAUACUACUUUUUCUCUAUUUUUAAAACUAAUGUUACAGAAUUUUUUAAUUAUUUAAACGAUUUAAAAAAAAAUUGAACAUCUGAAAUAUUCCAUUGGAACAACAAAGAUACACAUACAGUUACAAAGUCGCCGGAAAGGUAUAUCCCCAGACACUAAGAUUACAACCAAACUUAAAGCCAUAAAAGAUUUUGUUCCAACCAGAAAAUGACAAUGGAUCCAUAUAGAAAGGCUUGAAACUUACAAACAUAACCGGCUAAAAGCUUUACUCACAAAGACUAAAAAUUAACGAAGAUGCCUCCGGCCAGCCAUCGUUAACCGGUGAAUUUUUAAAAUUCUAAUUAAUGUAUUUUAUUUUAAAUUAAAAUAUAAGUUAAAAUGCAAGAAUAUGAAUGGUAAAAAAACAUAGAAUUAUAAAAAUAGAUAUUUAAGUUUUAUGUGUAAAAUAUAUAAAGUAUCAUUCUCUCAAAUACAAAG